ACUCUCUCAAAGCUUCUGUGAGAUGAGCAGGGCAAAAAGGGAAUGAGUGGAUGAUCACAGGACAUAAACUCAGUCUGUGUUUCCUGUAGAUAAGAACCAUAAUUUCUGGUCCAGCUCUCUGAUUUUUCUAACUUCAGUCCAAGAGCGGCCCAAGAUGCACGAAGACUCCCUCGAGGGCAGUUCAUAGCUAUAGCGGCCCCUGGAUCAGACUACAAGGACUGAUAUUGAAAUAAAGGCUGGAGCCCACAUGGAGAAUACAAAUAGUGAACCGAAAAGUGAAGAAAGGUCAAAGCAGGUCUUCAUCCCAGAUAAGAAGGACACAGAUGCUAUAUCUUUCAAGAUGGCAAUAAGAAGAAGACAGAAAAAUACCCUCAACAACAACCAAAAAUCAUCACAUGGUACACCUUAAACUUACACGGUAUGUCAAUUACGUAUCCAUAAAGUUGGGGAGAGGGGAAUGCCCGGACACCAAUUAAAGGUUUCUUGUCAAAAUCUGUUUCAUUAGACCCAAUGGAUAUGACAGGAGAUGGUCUUCUAUCAAAUAAUUUGGAUUCUCCAUCUAAUGACUUGAAUCACUUUGGGAAAAAUAGACUAAUUCACAAAUCUGGUACUAAUGCACGUGUAGGAAAAACUGUCAAGUGCUAUCACCUGCAGAUGACCAAAACCUGACAGCAUCUACUUUUGAAACUAUGCCAAAAACACUGCUAAUAACCUCUCCCAUUGCACAGGAAAUCAAUACUGAUAUUAAAGCAUAAGGAAAGAAGUUCAAAGUUGGGAAGAAGUGCUGGAAGAACACCUAUUGCUGAGACAAUGGGGAGCUGGUAUCGCUCCAUUAUUUAGGACAAGACAGACACACAACACUGGACAAAACUGAGUUUUCAUAUAUAAUAGUAUGGCCCCUCUUUACCCUGACAAAAACUACACAAUAUGCCUUUUUUACAUUUACAUACAGUUAAGUUUUUGAUAUACAGUUCUAUAAUUUUUCAUGAAAUACAUAGAUACAAAACAGUUCCAUUAUCCCCAAAAUUCCCUUGUUGUACUCCUUUGCAGUCAACCCCUCUCUCCCGCCCUGCCCAUGCCAAAUGACCUUUUGGGACACUGUGCACACACUACUGGGGUUCACAAUCACAGUCAUUUGUCUUUGGCCAUUAAGAGAUGGUACCACAGAGAUAUAUGAUAGCCUUUUCGUCCUAUACCCAGGCCACUGCCUACCUACUGCCCAUUCAGUGCCUUCACAGUCCACUACCAGAGCAAAAGACAACUUCUAGAAUCACAGUAUGACAAGUAUAUGCCAAAAAGAACAAAGAGUAUUGUCAUAUGUGGUCAAUUUCCUUGCCCAACCACUGAAGCAGCCUUUGCUGCUGGCCAUCUGCUUUCCACCAUCACCACAUCGCCUAUCUACUACCUCCCGAAAAGGUGAAGUCUCAUCAACUACUUCUUUAAUCUGUAUCUUUUUACCUUUUUGACAAUUUCUCUUGGUUGGAAAAAGCCUUAAAUAUUAUAAAUUUCACUAUCUCCUAGUCCAGGCUUGGUGUUAGUUAUAUUAAUAAAAGCUAAAGAAAUUUACAAAAAUGGCUGGCUCCAGAUUGGGGAGGCAAGAUACAGGAUAAACCUGGAACAUUUUCUUGUGCCAGAGAGUAAGAAGGUGUUCCAAAAAAUUAUGAGGAAGAUCAAAAAAUGCAGGAGCCAACAUGAAGGGGCUCCCAUGAGUCAAAUCUGUGACAAUUUCAGCAUCAAAACAAACAGAACAAUAAUGGGAUUGUAACCCACUGAGUAAAAUAGGUUGUUUAUUAUUUCUAAAUUAUCAAUAUGAGUCCAUACCAAUAAAAAUUAGAUAAAUGAGAAGGGGGGACUCCUCCUUUGAAGGAAAUAAACACUAAUAAAUGUGAGGAGUGAAGAAGUUAGAAAACUAUUAUUUUAAAACCAUCACAGUAAAUACUAGUUCAGGCAAAAACCAAUCAUAAGCAGAUGCUAAAUAAGGGGGGGGUGGGAUGAUGAGGAUUUGAUGUUUUCACUGUCUCAAAGUGUCUACCCACAGACUGGCUUGUUAGUUACAAGGGGAAAAACUGUAACUACUCAUCCCAGACAGUACCCUAACCAGAUGAUGAAAAUUUCACCAAUGAGGAACACAGGGACAUUGUGUGCCUCCUAAUGUGACAUCCUGAAAAGGAGCAUCACUUAUGCAGUACUCUGGCUGGGAAUGAACAAUCCAAGUCUCAUCACCAGAAAACAUCAGACAAAUCCUAGUCUAGGAACAACUUAUAAAAUAACUGAUUUGCAUUCUUCAAAACUACUGACAUCAGAAAAAUAUUAACGUCAUAACAGACUAAGAAAGGCUAAGGGACUAUUCCAGAUUAAAGGAGACUAAAGAGUCAUGGCAGCUGCAUGAAACAUGGGAUCCUAGAAUGGAUGCUGGACUGAAUAUUUGGAACCAGUGGCAAAACUGGAAAUAUGGAAGAGAUACAAGUAUUGUGUGAAUGUUAAAUUUCUUGGAUUUGAUUAAGCAUACAGUGGUUAUAGAAGAGAAUAUCCUUGUUCUCAGGGAACACACACUGAAGUAUUAAGUAAAGGGACAUUAUAUAUGCAAAUGACUCUCAAUGGUUUAGAAAAAAAAAAAAACUGUGUAUGUUUGCAGAUAAAGAAA